rnacentral:lncRNA from 1 species
AAUUUUUUUUAAAUGAGGUGCUAGAUUUGUGUUCAAUUUUUAUUCUUCAAGAUGGAUCUUCGUACUAUUAAGAUGGAUCUUUACACAAAAACACUAGGAGAGUGUAAACAAACCUCGAAAAAGUAGAUUAUCUCCAUUUUUGCUCUUGUUCUUUAUGUUCUUCGAGUUCUUAUAAUUUUGUUUGUACUCACUUUUCUCUCUUGAUUUCUUUGAUGGAUGAUCGAUUUGGGUUCGUUUUGACAGAUCUCUACAAGAAGAAACACUAGAAGACUACAAACUUUGAAAAGGUAGGUUAGCUCUCUUUUUAGCUUUUGUUCUUCGUGUUUUGUGUGUUUUCGUGUUCUUUGUGUUCUUCGUGUUUUUAGGGUUCUUCGUGUUCUUUGGGUUCUUCGGGUUUUUCAUGUUCACAUCACCGAGACGUUUUCAUGUUCUUUGGGUUUUUUGUGUUCAAAUCCCACGGGGACGAACACAAGAACGUUUGUAUCAUUGUCAAUACGUUUGUAUCACUUAUCGGUACAGACAUUUUGUUCACAUCCGAACAAAACGAGUGUAGGUCGUUGUAGUACUUGUGUUUCAUAGGCCUAGUUACGACCCGAAAGAACGAACGUAUGACAUGGCAAAUACGUUUGUAUCGAUAAGACAUACAAACGUAAAUAUUAUUCAUUUUAACUAAUGACUUUAUAUCUAAUAAGUUUUAAUACUUUUAUUUGUUGCACAAGUAAAUUAUAUAGACGAUGUAUCGCGUUCAAAAAAUUAUAGAUGGUUGUUUUUAUGAAUGUAGAUGUUGUAAUAUUUUAUUUAUGAAUUUAUUCACCAAUUUGAUGAUAUUCAUUGUUUCAUAUUGCUAUAUUCAAUAUCAAUAAAAUGUAUAAAUUCAAUAAUUUUUAUAA